UUAACAGUCUUUGAGAAAUGUAUAAUUAUGAUCCUGUGUGGUUUUGUCCUUUGCUCCUUCCGGUGCUAGUGAGAUUUCUCUUUCUUGUCCUCUUCUUCCUUUUGUUCUCUUACGCUGCCUGCUCUCUGCCCAGGUCUAGGCUGAGAGGAGAGAACCUGGUCCACCUGAGGCUCUCCUGGGCUGAAGAGGGAUGGUGAGUGUCCUGGCUCCGAUCUCGAGCUGCGAGUCUGUGAAGCAGGAACUCCUUUUAUUGUAUCAAACUUCUGUUUAUAAAGGACUGAGAGAGGAGAUUUUUUUUUCUGAGUUGAGAUGACAUAGGGGGAGGGGAAGGGUGAUGAAGGGUAUGGGGUGACUGACAGUGCCAAGGAAGUUAUUUUACUUGCGCAGUAGCUAAGCAAAGGCGGGCUUAAGGAGGUUGUGCUCAGUCACUUCAGUACAGAAAUGACUGAGACAACUUUCAAAACUCGAGCUAGGCUCUGGUUUGUCCUCAAGGCCCAAACCAGGGUCAAAUAGAGCCCAACAUCACUCCUUGUCUCUUUGUUCGUACCUGUAUGUGUGUCCCCCUCUCUGUGUCUCUGUCUUGCUCUCUCUCUCUCUGUGUGUGUGUGUGUGUGUGUGUGUGUGUGUGUGUGUGUCUGUCUGUCUGUCUGUCUGUCUGUCUGUCUGCCUCUCUUUCCUCACUCCUAUAUUAUU
rnacentral:lncRNA from 1 species